CGUCUAUGAUGAUCAACUAUAAACAAUACAGUUCUGCUUCUGAUCCUUGCCAGGAUAUGUGGAUACUCACUUACCAAAGCUUACCUCAUUCUGAGAC
rfam:Melampsora larici-populina 98AG31 unplaced genomic scaffold MELLAscaffold_2, whole genome shotgun sequence.